CUCGAUGAUCAAGUAAAAAUACAAUAUAAAAGAGGGGUAAAAAGUAAAAACACAAAAAAAUGAACUCAGAGGAAAAUUCAAUCGGAAAGUCCAUAAUCACAUGGCAAAAUCAAAUGACAAAACACAUAUAAAACGAAUGGACAGGAACUGUCAUAUUCCUGACUUGGUAUAUGCAUUUUCAAAUGUAGAAAAUGGUUGAUUAAACACAAAAGAUACUAGAGGGACAGCUAAACGCAUAGUUUGAACGCAUAGAUCGAACACAUAGAUCGAAAAUAAACUGACAACGCCAGGGCUAAAAAAGGAAAAAGACAAACAGACAAAUAAAAGUACACAUUCCACAACAUAGAAAACUAAAGACUAAGCAACACGAAACACGCGAGAAACUAGGGGUGAUUUCAGGUGCUCCGGGAGGUUAGGCAGAUCCUGAUAAAUAUGUGGCAACUGUCGUGUUGCUCAUAUUAUUACGAACCCG
rnacentral:lncRNA from 1 species